GACGAACGCUGGCGGCGUGCCUAAUACAUGCAAGUUGAGCGCUGAAGGUUGGUACUUGUACCAACUGGAUGAGCAGCGUACGGGUGAGUAACGCGUGGGGAAUCUGCCUUUGAGCGGGGGACAACAUUUGGAAACGAAUGCUAAUACCGCAUAAAAACUUUAAACACAAGUUUUAAGUUUGAAAGAUGCAAUUGCAUCACUCAAAGAUGAUCCCGCGUUGUAUUAGCUAGUUGGUGAGGUAAAGGCUCACCAAGGCGAUGAUACAUAGCCGACCUGAGAGGGUGAUCGGCCACAUUGGGACUGAGACACGGCCCAAACUCCUACGGGAGGCAGCAGUAGGGAAUCUUCGGCAAUGGACGAAAGUCUGACCGAGCAACGCCGCGUGAGUGAAGAAGGUUUUCGGAUCGUAAAACUCUGUUGGUAGGGAAGAACGUUGGUGAGAGUGGAAAGCUCAUCAAGUGACGGUAACUACCCAGAAAGGGACGGCUAACUACGUG
rnacentral:rRNA from 1 species